rnacentral:rRNA from 1 species
AUUGAACGCUGGCGGCAUGCCUUACACAUGCAAGUCGAACGGCAGCACGGGUGCUUGCCCCUGGUGGCGAGUGGCGAACGGGUGAGUAAUACAUCGGAACAUGUCCUGUAGUGGGGGAUAGCCCGGCGAAAGCUGGAUUAAUACCGCAUACGAUCUACGGAUGAAAGCGGGGGACCUUCGGGCCUCGCGCUAUAGGGUUGGCCGAUGGCUGAUUAGCUAGUUGGUGGGGUAAAGGCCUACCAAGGCGACGAUCAGUAGCUGGUCUGAGAGGACGACCAGCCACACUGGGACUGAGACACGGCCCAGACUCCUACGGGAGGCAGCAGUGGGGAAUUUUGGACAAUGGGCGAAAGCCUGAUCCAGCAAUGCCGCGUGUGUGAAGAAGGCCUUCGGGUUGUAAAGCACUUUUGUCCGGAAAGAAAUCCUUGGCCCUAAUACGGUCGGGGGAUGACGGUACCGGAAGAAUAAGCACCGGCUAACUACGUG